rnacentral:misc_RNA from 1 species
UCGAGUCUAAAAAACUCCCUAAACCAUUGUGAACUUACCUAUUCGUUGCUUCGGUGGGCGACCCCUCUAGGGGUCCUUGGUCGCAAGGCGCCCGCCGAAGGUUAUUUAACUCUUGCUUUUUUAUUGUCACAUCUGAGUUAUUACAAAAAUAAUCAAAACUUUCAACAACGGAUCUCUUGGCUCUAGCAUCGAUGAAGAACGCAGCGAAAUGCGAUAAGUAAUGCGAAUUGCAGAAUUCCGCGAGUCAUCGAAUCUUUGAACGCACAUUGCGCCUGCCAGUAUUCUGGCAGGCAUGCCUGUCCGAGCGUCAUUUCAACCCCCCGGCCCUCGUUGCCUGUUGUUGGGGCGUUCAGGGCGGUCCUACGACCCCCUGAGCCCUGAAAAGCAGUGGCGGGCUCGCCAGGUCACCGAGCGUAGUAAUUUUCUCUCGCUUAGGGGCCCUGGCGGGUGCCAGCCGUGAAAACGCAGAAGCUCUGCUUCUACACAAUAGUGGUUUGACCUCGGAUCAGGUAGGAAUACCCGCUGAACUUAAGCAUAUCAAUAAGCGGAGGAUCGCGUACUUGGUCAUUUAGAGGAAGUAAAAGUCGUAACAAGGUCUCCGUUGGUGAACCAGCGGAGGGAUCAUUACAGAAGUCGAAAGGCUACCUUAAACCAUCGCUGAACCUUAUCCAGUUGCUUCGGCGGGCGCGGCCCCCAGCGGCCCCCCCCGGCCCUCUCAGAGGUAGGGCAGCCGCCGGAGGAUACAAACUCUGUACAUUAGUGGUAUCUCUGAGUAUAUACUGAAUAAGUA